rnacentral:lncRNA from 1 species
GUUGCAAAAUUAAUUGAUAUUGAAAAAAAUUUGAAUACUUAUAUACUACAAUUGAGCAAGGUCUCUUUUGCAAUAAUCUAAUAUUAUUACGACAUUGAAGCAAAACAAGAUCGAAACAGGUAAGGAAAAACUGGAAAACUCAUGUAAUUUUUGUACUGUUGUUUGUACGUGUUUCAAGAGAAAAAAAGGAAAACCCUGAUUUAUAUAAGGUUCCUGUAAAACAAAAAGAAAAAAAAAAAUCCUAACUAACCACCGA